rnacentral:rRNA from 1 species
UACGUAGGGUGCAAGCGUUGUCCGGAAUUAUUGGGCGUAAAGAGCUUGUAGGCGGUUUGUCGCGUCUGCUGUGAAAUUUCGGGGCUCAACCCUGAGACGCCAUUCGAUACGGGACGGCUAGAGGUAGGUAGGGGAAAGUGGAAUUCCUGGUGUAGCGGUGAAAUGCGCAGAUAUCAGGAGGAACACCGGUGGCGAAGGCGGGUCUCUGGGCCGUAACUGACGCUGAGGUGCGAAAGCGUGGGGAGCAAACAGG